rnacentral:rRNA from 1 species
GCAACAGCUCAAAUUUGAAAUCUGGCCCCCCGCGCGCGAGUUGUAAUUUGGAGAGGAUGCUUCUGGCGCGGCGCCGUCCGACUUCCUUGGAACAGGACGCCAGAGAGGGUGAGAGCCCCGUACGGACGGACGCCCAGCCUCUGCGAACGUCCUUCGACGAGUCGAGUAGUUUGGGAAUGCUGCUCAAAAUGGGAGGUAAAUUUCUUCUAAAGCUAAAUACCGGCCAGAGACCGAUAGCGCACAA